rnacentral:rRNA from 1 species
UACGAAGGGUGCAAACGUUGCUCGGAAUUAUUGGGCGUAAAGCGCACGUAGGCGGCUUAGCAAGUCGGAAGUGAAAUCCCUCGGCUCAACCAAGGAAGUGCUUUCGAAACUGCUGAGCUUGAGUACUUAAGAGGAUCGCGGAAUUCUCGGUGUAGCAGUGAAAUGCGUAGAUAUCGAGAGGAACACCAGUGGCGAAGGCGGGUCCCUGGACAACACCUGACACUGAGGCACGAAAGCUAGGGGAGCAAACAGG